GACGAACGCNNGCGGCGUGCUUAACACAUGCAAGUCGAACGAAGAGCGAUGGAAGCUUGCUUCUAUCAAUCUUAGUGGCGAACGGGUGAGUAACGCGUAAUCAACCUGCCCUUCAGAGGGGGACAACAGUUGGAAACGACUGCUAAUACCGCAUACGAUCUAAUCUCGGCAUCGAGGAUAGAUGAAAGGUGGCCUCUACAUGUAAGCUAUCACUGAAGGAGGGGAUUGCGUCUGAUUAGCUAGUUGGAGGGGUAACGGCCCACCAAGGCGAUGAUCAGUAGCCGGUCUGAGAGGAUGAACGGCCACAUUGGGACUGAGACACGGCCCAGACUCCUACGGGGGGCAGCAGUGGGGAAUCUUCCGCAAUGGACGAAAGUCUGACGGAGCAACGCCGCGUGAGUGAUGACGGCCUUCGGGUUGUAAAGCUCUGUUAAUCGGGACGAAAGGCCUUCUUGCGAAUAAUGAGAAGGAUGAC
rnacentral:rRNA from 1 species